rnacentral:rRNA from 1 species
AAUCAAACUUGGAGAUAGCUCGUACUCCCCGAAAUGCAUUUAGGUGCAGCCUUGACUUAUACUGGCAUGAGGUAGAGCGACUGAUAAGAUGCGAGGGCUUCACCGCCUAUCAAGUCUUGACAAACUCCGAAUGCGUGUCAGUUCUAUGUCAGGAGUGAGGGCAUGGGUGCUAAGGUCCAUGUCCUAAAGGAGAACAAUCCGGACCAACAGCUAAGGUCCCAAAAUGAAUACUAAGUUGAACUAACGAAGUCAGAUUGCUAAGACAGCUAGGAUGUUGGCUUGGAAGCAGCCAUUCAUUUAAAGAGUGCGUAACAGCUCACUAGUCGAGGAGUCGGGCGUGGAUAAUAAUCGGGUAUUAAGUUGUCUACCGAAGCAGUGGGAUCAUUUAUAUGAUCGGUAGGGGAGCAUUCCAGUCAGCGUCGAAGGCGUACCGUGAGGUAUUCUGGAGCGUCUGGAAAAGCAAAUGUAGGUAUAAGUAACGAUAAAGGGGGCGGGAAACCCCCUCGCCGAAAGACUAAGGUUUCCUGAUCAACGCUAAUCGGAUCAGGGUCAGUCGGGUCCUAAGGCUCAGCCGAACGGCGAUGCCGAUGGCAGAAACGGUUAAUAUUCCGUUACUACCUUCAGGAGUGACGUGGAGACGCAGUAGUGACAGUGCCGCCAUCUGACGGAAUAGAUGGUUGAAGGGUGUAGGAGUCGAUCAUGGCAGGCAAAUCCACCAUGAGAUCCGAACCUGACAGUAUGCCGCGUCCUUCGGGACAAGGCAAUAGUGCGCGUAAGCAUGCUGCCGAGAAAAUCCGCUAAACUUAAUCCUGUAGGUACCCGUACCGCAAACGGACACACGUAGUCGGGAUGAAUAUUCUAAGGCGCUUGAGUGAUUCACGGUUAAGGAACUAGGCAAACUGACCCUGUAACUUCGGGAUAAAGGGUCCCUACCCUUUUAUGGGAGGGCGCAGAGAAUCGGUCCAGGCAACUGUUUAACAAAAACACAGGGCUGUGCCAAAUCGAAAGAUCCAGUAUACAGCCUGACACCUGCCCGGUGCUGGAAGGUUAAGAGGAGAUGUCAUCGAUGAGAGAAGCGUUGAAUUGAAGCCCCAGUAAACGGCGGCCGUAACUAUAACGGUCCUAAGGUAGCGAAAUUCCUUGUCGGGUAAGUUCCGACCUGCACGAAUGGUGUAAUGAUCUGGACGCUGUCUCAACCGUGAGCUCAGUGAAAUUGUAGUAUCGGUGAAGAUGCCGAUUACCCGCGAUGGGACGAAAAGACCCCGUGAACCUUUACUAUAGCUUAACAUUGAAUUUGGGUAAUUGAUGUGUAGGAUAGGCCGGAGGCUUCGAAGCAGGUACGCCAGUAUUUGUGGAGCCGCUGUUGAAAUACGGCCCUUUGAUUAUUUGAGUUCUAACCCGCUGCUGCGGGGACACUGUUUGGUGGGUAGUUUGACUGGGGUGGUCGCCUCCAAAAGCGUAACGGAGGCUUCUAAAGGUGCCCUCCGGCCGAUUGGUAACCGGCCUUAGAGUGUAAUGGCAUAAGGGCGCUUGACUGGGAGACUAACAAGUCGAUCAGGUAGGAAACUAGAGCAUAGUGAUCCGGUGUUUCUGUAUGGAAAGGACAUCGCUCAAAGGAUAAAAGGUACUCCGGGGAUAACAGGCUGAUCCCUCCCAAGAGCUCAUAUCGACGGAGGGGUUUGGCACCUCGAUGUCGGCUCGUCACAUCCUGGGGCUGGAGAAGGUCCCAAGGGUUGGGCUGUUCGCCCAUUAAAGUGGCACGCGAGCUGGGUUCAGAACGUCGUGAGACAGUUCGGUCUCUAUCUAUCGUGGGCGUAUGAAAUUUGCGUGGCUCUGACACUAGUACGAGAGGACCGUGUUGGA